GUGGAUGCCCUGGCAGUCAGAGGCGAUGAAGGACGUGCUAAUCUGCGAAAAGCGCCGGUAAGGUGAUAUGAACCGUUAUAACCGGCGAUGUCCGAAUGGGGAAACCCGGUGCACUUCGGUGCAUCAUCGUUAGCUGAAUACAUAGGCUAACGAGGCGAACCGGGGGAACUGAAACAUCUAAGUACCCCGAGGAAAAGAAAUCAACCGAGAUUCCCCCAGUAGCGGCGAGCGAACGGGGAACAGCCCAGAGCCUGAAUCAGCUUGUGUGUCAGUGGAACGGUCUGGAAAGGCCGGCGAUACAGGGUGACAGCCCCGUACACGAAGGCACACAGGCUGUGAGCUCGAUGAGUAGGGCGGGACACGUGAUAUCCUGUCUGAAGAUGGGGGGACCAUCCUCCAAGGCUAAAUACUCCUGACUGACCGAUAGUGAACCAGUACCGUGAGGGAAAGGCGAAAAGAACCCCGGCGAGGGGAGUGAAACAGAACCUGAAACCGUGUACGUACAAGCAGUGGGAGCCUUCGUAAGAGGGUGACUGCGUACCUUUUGUAUAAUGGGUCAGCGACUUAUAUUCUGUAGCAAGGUUAACCGUAUAGGGGAGCCGAAGGGAAACCGAGUCUUAAUUGGGCGUUAAGUUGCAGGGUAUAGACCCGAAACCCGGUGAUCUAGCCAUGGGCAGGUUGAAGGUUGGGUAACACUAACUGGAGGACCGAACCGACUAAUGUUGAAAAAUUAGCGGAUGACCUGUGGCUGGGGGUGAAAGGCCAAUCAAACCGGGAGAUAGCUGGUUCUCCCCGAAAGCUAUUUAGGUAGCGCCUCGUGAACUCAUCUCCGGGGGUAGAGCACUGUUUCGGCUAGGGGGCCAUCCCGGCUUACCAACCCGAUGCAAACUGCGAAUACCGGAGAAUGUUAUCACGGGAGACACACGGCGGGUGCUAACGUCCGUCGUGAAGAGGGAAACAACCCAGACCGCCAGCUAAGGUCCCAAAGUCAUGGUUAAGUGGGAAACGAUGUGGGAAGGCCCAGACAGCCAGGAUGUUGGCUUAGAAGCAGCCAUCAUUUAAAGAAAGCGUAAUAGCUCACUGGUCGAGUCGGCCUGCGCGGAAGAUGUAACGGGGCUAAACCAUGCACCGAAGCUGCGGCAGCGACGCUUAUGCGUUGUUGGGUAGGGGAGCGUUCUGUAAGCCUGUGAAGGUGUGCUGUGAGGCAUGCUGGAGGUAUCAGAAGUGCGAAUGCUGACAUAAGUAACGAUAAAGCGGGUGAAAAGCCCGCUCGCCGGAAGACCAAGGGUUCCUGUCCAACGUUAAUCGGGGCAGGGUGAGUCGACCCCUAAGGCGAGGCCGAAAGGCGUAGUCGAUGGGAAACAGGUUAAUAUUCCUGUACUUGGUGUUACUGCGAAGGGGGGACGGAGAAGGCUAUGUCGGCCGGGCGACGGUUGUCCCGGUUUAAGCGUGUAGGCUGACUUUCCAGGCAAAUCCGGAAAGUUAAGGCUGAGGCGUGAUGACGAGGCACCACGGUGCUGAAGUGACAAAUGCCCUGCUUCCAGGAAAAGCCUCUAAGCAUCAGGUAACAUCAAAUCGUACCCCAAACCGACACAGGUGGUCAGGUAGAGAAUACCAAGGCGCUUGAGAGAACUCGGGUGAAGGAACUAGGCAAAAUGGUGCCGUAACUUCGGGAGAAGGCACGCUGACAUGUAGGUGAAGCCCCUGCGGGUGGAGCUGAAGUCAGUCGAAGAUACCAGCUGGCUGCAACUGUUUAUUAAAAACACAGCACUGUGCAAACACGAAAGUGGACGUAUACGGUGUGACGCCUGCCCGGUGCCGGAAGGUUAAUUGAUGGGGUUAUCGCAAGAGAAGCUCCUGAUCGAAGCCCCGGUAAACGGCGGCCGUAACUAUAACGGUCCUAAGGUAGCGAAAUUCCUUGUCGGGUAAGUUCCGACCUGCACGAAUGGCGUAAUGAUGGCCAGGCUGUCUCCACCCGAGACUCAGUGAAAUUGAACUCGCUGUGAAGAUGCAGUGUACCCGCGGCAAGACGGAAAGACCCCGUGAACCUUUACUACAGCUUGACACUGAACAUUGAGCCUUGAUGUGUAGGAUAGGUGGGAGGCUUUGAAGCGUGGACGCCAGUCUGCGUGGAGCCGACCUUGAAAUACCACCCUUUAAUGUUUGAUGUUCUAACCUGGCGCCGUAAUCCGGCGUGGGGACAGUGUCUGGUGGGUAGUUUGACUGGGGCGGUCUCCUCCCAAAGUGUAACGGAGGAGCACGAAGGUCAGCUAAUCCUGGUCGGACAUCAGGAGGUUAGUGCAAUGGCAUAAGCUGGCUUGACUGCGAGAGUGACGGCUCGAGCAGGUGCGAAAGCAGGUCAUAGUGAUCCGGUGGUUCUGUAUGGAAGGGCCAUCGCUCAACGGAUAAAAGGUACUCCGGGGAUAACAGGCUGAUACCGCCCAAGAGUUCAUAUCGACGGCGGUGUUUGGCACCUCGAUGUCGGCUCAUCACAUCCUGGGGCUGAAGUAGGUCCCAAGGGUAUGGCUGUUCGCCAUUUAAAGUGGUACGCGAGCUGGGUUUAGAACGUCGUGAGACAGUUCGGUCCCUAUCUGCCGUGGGCGCUGGAGAAUUGAGGGGGGCUGCUCCCAGUACGAGAGGACCGGAGUGGACGCAUCACUGGUGUUCGGGUUGUCAUGCCAAUGGCACUGCCCGGUAGCUAAAUGCGGAAGAGAUAAGUGCUGAAAGCAUCUAAGCACGAAACUUGCCCCGAGAUGAGUUCUCCCUGAGACUAUAAGUCUCCUGAAGGAACGUUGAAGACGACGACGUUGAUAGGCCGGGUGUGUAAGCGCAGCGAUGCGUUGAGCUAACCGGUACUAAUGAACCGUGAGGCUUAACCUUACAACGCCAAAGAAGU
rnacentral:rRNA from 1 species